UACAGAGGGUGCAAGCGUUGUUCGGAAUUAUUGGGCGUAAAGCGCGUGUAGGCGACUUUGCAAGUCGGGUGUGAAAGCCCUCAGCUCAACUGAGGAAGUGCGCCCGAAACUGCAGAGCUUGAGUGCCGGAGAGGGUGGCGGAAUUCCCCAAGUAGAGGUGAAAUUCGUAGAUAUGGGGAGGAACACCGGUGGCGAAGGCGGCCACCUGGACGGGUAACUGACGCUGAGACGCGAAAGCGUGGGGAGCGAACAGG
rnacentral:rRNA from 1 species